GGGUGGUUGUAAGGGGGGCAGUGGGUACCUACAGAGGUCUGGGUGGUUGUAAGGGGGGCAGUGGGUACCUACAGAGGUCUGGGUGGUUGUAAGGGGGGCAGUGGGUACCUAAAGAGGUCUGGGUGGUUGUAAGGGGGGCAGUGGGUACCUACAGAGGUCUGGGUGGUUGUAAGGGGGGCAGUGGGUACUUACAGAGGUCCGGGUGGUUGUAAGGGGGGCAGUGGGUACUUACAGAGGUCUGGGUGGUUGUAAGGGGGGCAGUGGGUACUUACAGAGGUCUGGGUGGUUGUAAGGGGGGCAGUGGGUACUUACAGAGGUCUGGGUGGUUGUAAGGGGGGCAGUGGGUACUUACAGAGGUCUAGGUGGUUC